UUGCUGACGAGUGGCGGACGGGUGAGUAAUGUCUGGGAAACUGCCCGAUGGAGGGGGAUAACUACUGGAAACGGUAGCUAAUACCGCAUAAUGUCGCAAGACCAAAGAGGGGGACCUUCGGGCCUCUUGCCAUCGGAUGUGCCCAGAUGGGAUUAGCUUGUUGGUGAGGUAAUGGCUCACCAAGGCGACGAUCCCUAGCUGGUCUGAGAGGAUGACCAGCCACACUGGAACUGAGACACGGUCCAGACUCC
rnacentral:rRNA from 1 species